GCGAAGGGACAGACGCUGAGUGAAGUGGCCGAGCCCCGCGGCCCCGGGGGGCGGCAGCGCAGCACUCCCCUUACCCCUCCCCGAGCACCCCCUUACCUUGCCUGGGGUGCAGCUUCUGCCUCCUCGCUGCCGUCCUCCAGCCGUCGAUGAAGAGCGUGGCAGCUUGAAGAAGUGGACCAGCAGUUGAAGAAUCCCGUGUGGCACAUCUCAUAGCAGUUGUUUUCUUAUGCAUUUCCUUGCCUCAGAUAAGAGGCAAUUCAAGCAACUUUUGUUCAGGAUGAGAUUUGUGUUGUGCACUUUUCAGGCACCCUGAGGGAAAAGGAAGAUUAUAUCCAAAUCCGAGUUUAUUUUGUUUUGUUUUACAGUUUGAAAGGUCUCUAAAAAUUUAAGAUAUGCUUUAGAGCUACAUAUAAUUGUGUUGUCUUCUACCCCUUCCUCAAAUCAAAACCCCCAGCCUUGGUUUAAAAGGUUUUUAAACCUUUAAAACACAUAAGCAAGGCAAAUGAGAAGUUUGGAAGUUCAGUUUGCACUUCCAUAGAAAAUGUCAAAGUUCUUUACAUUAUUUGCUCAACUUUGGGACAAGGCACAGAAAUGUUGGUAUUGGCUGCAGAAAGGGAAAGUUUUAAAAUAAAAAUCAAUUCAGAAUCCACUUCUGGGCAAAAUGGUACCUCCUGACUCUUUAACUGGUAAAGUGCUACAAACCUCAACUAUUAGGAAUCAAUUAUUAAUUUUAUAUGAUGAAUGUAAAAGAGUAAAUAAAGCAUCACCUGC